rnacentral:rRNA from 1 species
UGGAUCCAGACUUUGAUCAUGGCUCAGGAUGAACGCUAGCUACAGGCUUAACACAUGCAAGUCGAGGGGAAACGAUAUUGGAAGCUUGCUUCCGAUAGGCGUCGACCGGCGCACGGGUGAGUAACGCGUAUCCAACCUGCCCACCACUUGGGGAUAACCUUGCGAAAGUAAGACUAAUACCCAAUGACGUCUCUAGAAGACAUCUGAAAGAGAUUAAAGAUUUAUCGGUGAUGGAUGGGGAUGCGUCUGAUUAGCUUGUUGGCGGGGUAACGGCCCACCAAGGCGACCAUCAGUAGGGGUUCUGAGAGGAAGGUCCCCCACAUUGGAACUGAGACACGGUCCAAACUCCUACGGGAGGCAGCAGUGAGGAAUAUUGGUCAAUGGACGAGAGUCUGAACCAGCCAAGUAGCGUGCAGGAAGACGGCCCUAUGGGUUGUAAACUGCUUUUAUAAGGGAAUAAAGUUAGUCUCGUGAGACUUUUUGCAUGUACCUUAUGAAUAAGGACCGGCUAAUUCCGUGCCAGCAGCCGCGGUAAUACGGAAGGUCCGGGCGUUAUCCGGAUUUAUUGGGUUUAAAGGGAGCGUAGGCCGGAGACUAAGCGUGUUGUGAAAUGUAGAUGCUCAACAUCUGAACUGCAGCGCGAACUGGUUUCCUUGAGUACGCGCAAAGUGGGCGGAAUUCGUGGUGUAGCGGUGAAAUGCUUAGAUAUCACGAAGAACUCCGAUUGCGAAGGCAGCUCACUGGAGCGCAACUGACGCUGAAGCUCGAAAGUGCGGGUAUCGAACAGGAUUAGAUACCCUGGUAGUCCGCACGGUAAACGAUGGAUGCCCGCCGUUGGUCUGAAUAGGUCAGCGGCCAAGCGAAAGCAUUAAGCAUCCCACCUGGGGAGUACGCCGGCAACGGUGCAACUCAAAUGAAUUGACGGA